GUCCCUGCAGCGCAAUGGAUUACGCGUUGAACUUCGCAUCCAAAGGCCCUGGGUUUGAGUCCCAAAUGGGACG